CAGUAGCCGCGGGAAUACGUAGGUGGCAAGCGUUGUCCGGAAUUAUUGGGCGUAAAGGGCUCGCAGGCGGUUUCUUAAGUCUGAUGUGAAAGCCCCCGGCUCAACCGGGGAGGGUCAUUGGAAACUGGGAAACUUGAGUGCAGAAGAGGAGAGUGGAAUUCCACGUGUAGCGGUGAAAUGCGUAGAGAUGUGGAGGAACACCAGUGGCGAAGGCGACUCUCUGGUCUGUAACUGACGCUGAGGAGCGAAAGCGUGGGGAGCGAACAGGAUCAGAUACCCGAGUAGUCCCUGUCUCUUAUAC
rnacentral:rRNA from 1 species